GGGGUUAUAGCUCAGUGGUAGAGUGCAUGCUUUGCACAUGUGAGGCACUGAGUUCGAUCCUCAGUGCCACA
rnacentral:tRNA from 1 species